CCUACGGGUGGCAGCAGUGAGGAAUAUUGGUCAAUGGGCGGGAGCCUGAACCAGCCAAGUCGCGUGAGGGAAGACGGUCCUAUGGAUUGUAAACCUCUUUAGGCGGGGAGCAAUGCCGGGCACGUGUGCCCGGAGGGAGAGUACCCGCAGAAUAAGCCUCGGCUAACGCCGUGCCAGCACCCGCGGUAAUACGGAGGAAGGGAGCGUUAUCCGGAUUUAUUGGGUUAAAGGGGGGCGUAGGGGGAUUUUUAAGUCAGCGGUAAAAUGUCGGGGCUCAACCCGGGCCGGCCGUUGAAACUGGGGAUCUUGAGUGGGCGAGAAGUAUGCGGAAGGCGUGGUGUAGCGGUGAAAUGCAUAGAUAUCACGCAGAACUCCGAUUGCGAAGGCAGCAUACCGGCGCCCGACUGACGCUGAGGCACGAAAGCGUGGGGAUCGAACAGGAUUAGAUACCCUGGUAGUC
rnacentral:rRNA from 1 species